CAGUUUAAGGACGAAUCUUGUAGCAAAUAAUUGUUUUCAGUUAUGGUUUUAUCCAAAAUCGUGAAUUGCUUUUGUCCAGGCGCUCUCUCUCAGAAAACCCUUUUCAGUAUUAUGUUCUUAUCAUUUAUUUUACAAGUUAUUCUUUAAUUUGGAUUUAAUGGAAAGAGACUAUUUAAUAUUUAAUGAGUACCACAAUCUCUCUCUCUCUCUCUCUCUCUCUCUCUCUCACACACACACACACAAAUGCUUUGGUCACCGAAUAUUCUUGCUUUUCUUUGAUCGAUUAAGAAGGUUUUAAGAUGAUGUCAGGUGCCUGUGUUGUCGAUAUUACCAGAUUAUACAUAGCCUUGCAAGAUUCUUCUUAUUGAGGGCAUUAGUAUGUUAUAACAGGUAUGGGAUACAAGACAACAAUCAUGCUAAAAUUCGUUUAAAGUUCUUGUACAUCCUCUUCCAUUCACUUUGUUACAAGUGGUAGAAACAGGGCCAGUCCAAACAUAUAUGGGGCCCGGGGGGAAAAGAAAAAAAAGGCCUCUCAAAUACAAAUAUAAUAAAGAUUCAAAAAAUUAUCAUUACUCUUCAAUAUAGACGUUCUCAAUUAGAAAUAAAAAGCAAACUAAAUUGUUUAUAUUUUGAGCUAAAUUGAGUUUCAAUCAACUUUAGGUCCUAAAAAUCAUUUCGGUAAUAUAUAUAUAUAUAUAUAUAUAUAUAUAUAUAUAUAUAUAUAUAUAUAUAUAUAUAUAUAUAAACUACAUAGUCCAUAAAUUUUGGGCCCCCUGAAGUCGUAGGCCCUGGGCGGUCGCCCGGGUUGCCCACCGUUUGGACCGGCCCUAGGUAGAAAUACAAGAAAAGGUUUAUAAAGUUAUUCCCUCGUCCACCACCCUAUUCUCGAUUCUUUAUGAUAUUCAUCUUUUAUCACAUGUAAUUAGUGUGGCUUGGUUGAAGCUUUAGCCCCAACAAUCAUUUCCUUUUAAAGGAAUUGACUUCACUUAUAUCAUCAUGUGAUGUUCUUAUAUAGAAUUUCAAGGUUCGCCAACUAUUUCCUCGACGAAAUGCUUAAUAGAACCUUUUGAUUUCUUCUUUAUUAAUAUUAAGAUUAAGAUCAUACAUACUUAUAAAGCUAGCAUUUUUUCUUGAAUCUCAUGAAUUUGAAACCCCCAUUCUUUUUUCAUUUCACCACAUUCAUUUGAAACUCCCAUGACUUUUCAAUUUCUUUAUAAUAAUAAUUAUAAUUUGGUAAUUAGGUUAAACAAAUAUAAAUUCUAAAGUGUAUUCAUAUAUAAACUAAAUUUCAAUAUUAAAAUAAUAUCUUUAAUUCUACUUAUAAAAUUAUGUUUUUUAACUUUUAACAUAUUAUACUUAAUUUAUUAGUUUUAAUAUAUUGUUGGAUGUAAACCAUUAUCAUUUUAAAGGUAUAAUUUUUGAACAAUUUGUAUAAAAUACUUAAAUUAUAAAUUAAAAUAUAACAUUAUAGGCUCAACUUAAAUAUAAAUUUGAUUUAACUUAAACAACCCAAAGAUUAUUUUAUAAAUAGUUAAAAGUGAUAAAUUGUAGAGUCUUUCUAAUAAUGAUUGUAAGUUGGUUAAUAAGGUAAAAUCAAUAUCAAACAUAAAGUGUAAUCAUAAAUAGACUAAAUUUCAAUUUUAAAAUAAUAUAUUUACUUUUAUUUAUAAAGUUAUGUCUUUAAAUUUUAACAUAUUAUACUUAACUUAUUAGAUUUAAAAUGUUGUUGCAUGUAAACCAUUAUCAGUUUAAAGCUGCAACUUUUGAAUAGUUUGGACAAAAUACUUAAAUUGUUAAUUUAAAUAUAACAUUGUAGUGUCACCUUAAAUAUAAAUUUCAGUUCCAUUAAAAAACCAAAUAACAUUUUGUAAAUAGUUAAAAGUGAUAAAUUAUAGUGAUAAAUGCAAAAACUAAAUUGUAAUAUCAGUUUAACUAAAUAUGUUUAUAUAAUCGUUAAAAAUUUUCAACUAAGUAGCUUAAAAUAACUUAUAAUAACAAUAGUUAAAAAUAACUCUCUAUAAAUGAUUAUAUAGUUACCUUUAAAAUCAAAAAAUAAUGUUUGAUGUUUUAAAUAAUUAUAAUGAUAGAAAUUAAAACAUUAAGAAAAUAAAUUUUAAAAAAUUAGUUAAAAAUAACAACUAUAAAUAAUAUUAAACCAUAUAUAAUAUUUAAUUUUAUUGAUGUGUAACUCGUGAGUAAAAGUCAUUCAAACAAUUGGAAUUAUGACGUUAUAAUAAUUUAUAUAUUAUCAUAUAAUUCAAAAUAAUCAAUAUAUUAUAUCAAAUUAAUCUACAAAUUAUUAUAUCAAAUUUAACAAGAACGUUAGUGUUAUAUUUAAAAAAUCAUAUAUUUGUAAAAACUUCAACUAUAUAAAUGUUUCUGCGCAACGUGCGGCCAUUCGCCUAGUUUUAUAUAUUUUUAUGCAACUUCACAUGCAAUUAUUGUGGUUAUGUUGAAGCUUUAGGCCUCUUUAAUUACGGGACAUUAUUUCUUUGUUUAAAUUGGGAAUUUAGUAUUACACUUUACAACCACCUCAUAUGUUGAAUUGUUAUGGUUGAAUUUAUUUUAAUUACUCCUUUUGGUUGAAUUUUCAUGCCCUAUAUGUUGCUAAAGAGUCGUUUUUCUGAAUUAUUAUGUUGAAUUGGCUUGGAUAUUAUAACAAUUAAAUUAAAAUGAGUACAAUGAAAACACCUCUUCGUACAAACAUAGCAACAUACUUAUGGUUAAAUGCAAAAUAGUAAUUUAUUGCAAUUAUCAUUGAUUUUUGUUUGUUUUUGAAGUUUUUUAUAGUUUAUACUCAAGAGUUUAUAUUAUUUUUCUUUAAUUUCCAAUUUUACACGGUUUGCUCUUUUGUUG